rnacentral:rRNA from 1 species
CAAUUUAAACAACGAAGAGUUUGAUCCUGGCUCAGGAUGAACGCUAGCGACAGGCUUAACACAUGCAAGUCGAGGGGCAGCGGGGUGUAGCAAUACACCGCCGGCGACCGGCGCACGGGUGAGUAACGCGUAUGCAACUUGCCUAUCAGAGGGGGAUAACCCGGCGAAAGUCGGACUAAUACCGCAUGAAGCAGGGAUCCCGCAUGGGAAUAUUUGCUAAAGAUUCAUCGCUGAUAGAUAGGCAUGCGUUCCAUUAGGCAGUUGGCGGGGUAACGGCCCACCAAACCGACGAUGGAUAGGGGUUCUGAGAGGAAGGUCCCCCACAUUGGUACUGAGACACGGACCAAACUCCUACGGGAGGCAGCAGUGAGGAAUAUUGGUCAAUGGCCGAGAGGCUGAACCAGCCAAGUCGCGUGAGGGAUGAAGGUUCUAUGGAUCGUAAACCUCUUUUAUAAGGGAAUAAAGUGCGGGACGUGUCCCGUUUUGUAUGUACCUUAUGAAUAAGGAUCGGCUAACUCCGUGCCAGCAGCCGCGGUAAUACGGAGGAUCCGAGCGUUAUCCGGAUUUAUUGGGUUUAAAGGGUGCGUAGGCGGCCUUUUAAGUCAGCGGUGAAAGUCUGUGGCUCAACCAUAGAAUUGCCGUUGAAACUGGGGGGCUUGAGUAUGUUUGAGGCAGGCGGAAUGCGUGGUGUAGCGGUGAAAUGCAUAGAUAUCACGCAGAACCCCGAUUGCGAAGGCAGCCUGCCAAGCCAUUACUGACGCUGAUGCACGAAAGCGUGGGGAUCAAACAGGAUUAGAUACCCUGGUAGUCCACGCAGUAAACGAUGAUCACUAGCUGUUUGCGAUACACUGUAAGCGGCACAGCGAAAGCGUUAAGUGAUCCACCUGGGGAGUACGCCGGCAACGGUGAAACUCAAAGGAAUUGACGGGGGCCCGCACAAGCGGAGGAACAUGUGGUUUAAUUCGAUGAUACGCGAGGAACCUUACCCGGGUUUGAACGCAUUCGGACCGAGGUGGAAACACCUUUUCUAGCAAUAGCCGUUUGCGAGGUGCUGCAUGGUUGUCGUCAGCUCGUGCCGUGAGGUGUCGGCUUAAGUGCCAUAACGAGCGCAACCCUUGCCACUAGUUACUAACAGGUUAGGCUGAGGACUCUGGUGGGACUGCCAGCGUAAGCUGCGAGGAAGGCGGGGAUGACGUCAAAUCAGCACGGCCCUUACAUCCGGGGCGACACACGUGUUACAAUGGCGUGGACAAAGGGAGGCCACCUGGCGACAGGGAGCGAAUCCCCAAACCACGUCUCAGUUCGGAUCGGAGUCUGCAACCCGACUCCGUGAAGCUGGAUUCGCUAGUAAUCGCGCAUCAGCCAUGGCGCGGUGAAUACGUUCCCGGGCCUUGUACACACCGCCCGUCAAGCCAUGGGAGCCGGGGGUACCUGAAGUCCGUAACCGAAAGGAUCGGCCUAGGGUAAAACUGGUGACUGGGGCUAAGUCGUAACAAGGUAGCCGUACCGGAAGGUGCGGCUGGAACACCUCCUUUCU